ACCAUAAUCUAAAAAACAAGAAUAUUUUUGCUACAAGAUUACAAAAGAGAAUUUCAUACGUGCGGCACACAAAAUGGAUGCAAUUAUAGCGCGCCGCACAGCGUUUGAGGGACCGGUCGCUGCUGAGAUUGAAAGAUUAAUGUGCGAGGUCGUCGAUUAUUUGCGAGCGCAGAGAGGAAAACACGAGAGCACGCUCAUCGAAAAUUAAUCGACAUGCAGGAAUGUUACAUCUAACAAAACCAUUUAUUAGUAAAAGUAGAACUUUUACGUAGACAUAACACAGCAUCAAGAACAUCAUAUUUUAAGUAAGAUCUUAAUAAAACUGAUAAUUUGAAGUUUUAAAUCUUUGAGAUCUGUUAUAUCAUAUUGGCAAUAUUAAUUUCUGUA